AGAGUUUGAUCCUGGCUCAGGACGAACGCUGGCGGCGUGCUUAACACAUGCAAGUCGAGGGGAAACGGCAUUGAGUGCUUGCACUCUUUGGACGUCGACCGGCGCACGGGUGAGUAACGCGUAUCCAACCUUCCCAUUACUGUGGGAUAACCUGCCGAAAGGCAGACUAAUACCGCAUAGUCUUCGAUGACGGCAUCAGAUUUGAAGUAAAGAUUUAUCGGUAAUGGAUGGGGAUGCGUCUGAUUAGCUUGUUGGCGGGGUAACGGCCCACCAAGGCAACGAUCAGUAGGGGUUCUGAGAGGAAGGUCCCCCACAUUGGAACUGAGACACGGUCCAAACUCCUACGGGAGGCAGCA
rnacentral:rRNA from 1 species